rnacentral:tRNA from 1 species
AAAAAAUUAGUUAAUUUAUAAUAUUAAACUGUCAGUUUAAAGUUACAUAAAAAUGUAUUUUUUU